ensembl:miRNA MIR4999 microRNA 4999
AUAGAAAAUAAAACACAUACUGCUGUAUUGUCAGGUAGUGAUAGGAUUUAUCACUACCUGACAAUACAGUAUGUGUUUGUUUUAUAUAUUU